GACAGAGGGGGCAAGCGUUGCUCGGAAUUACUGGGCGUAAAGGGCGCGUAGGCGGGAUGGCAAGUCGGUCGUGAAAUCCCUCGGCUCAACCGAGGAACGUCGAUCGAUACUGCUGUUCUUGAGGAUUGCAGAGGAGACUGGAAUUCCCGGUGUAGCGGUGAAAUGCGCAGAUAUCAGGAGGAACACCGGUGGCGAAGGCGGGUCUCUGGGUAGUAACUGACGCUGAGGAACGAAAGCGUGGGGAGCAAACAGG
rnacentral:rRNA from 1 species